rnacentral:tRNA from 1 species
UUGCGGAGACAGGAUUUGAACCCGUGA